AGAAUUGAUCUGGUCAGGACGAACGCUGGCGGCGUGCCUAACACAUGCAAGUCGAGCGAUGAAACCCUCGGGGUGGAUUAGCGGCGGACGGGUGAGUAACACGUGGGUAACCUGCCUCAAAGAGGGGGAUAGCCUCCCGAAAGGGAGAUUAAUACCGCAUAACAUUAUUUUUUCGCAUGAAGAGAUAAUCAAAGGAGUAAUCCGCUUUGAGAUGGACCCGCGGCGCAUUAGCUAGUUGGUGAGGUAAUGGCUCACCAAGGCAACGGUGCGUAGCCGACCUGAGAGGGUGAUCGGCCACAUUGGAACUGAGAUACGGUCCAGACUCCUACGGGAGGCAGCAGUGGGGAAUAUUGCGCAAUGGGGGAAACCCUGACGCAGACCAACGCUGCGUGGGUGAAGAAGGCCUUCGGGUUGUAAAGCUCUGUCUUCUGGGACGAUAAUGACGGUACCAGAGGAGGAAGCCACGGCUAACUACGUGCCAGCAGCAGC
rnacentral:rRNA from 1 species